GGUUAAGUGAAUAAGGGCGCACGGUGGAUGCCUUGGCACUAGGAGCCGAUGAAGGACGGGACUAACACCGAUAUGCUUUGGGGAGCUGUAAGUAAGCUAUGAUCCAGAGAUUUCCGAAUGGGGGAACCCAAUAUCUUUUAUAGGAUAUUACUUUUCAGUGAAUACAUAGCUGAUUAGAGGUAGACGCAGAGAACUGAAACAUCUUAGUACCUGCAGGAAGAGAAAGAAAAUUCGAUUCCCUGAGUAGCGGCGAGCGAAACGGGAAGAGCCCAAACCAACAAGCUUGCUUGUUGGGGUUGUAGGACUCCAAUAUGGUAGUCUGUUAGUAUAGUUGAAGGAUUUGGAAAAUUCCGCUAAAGAGGGUGAAAGCCCCGUAGACGAAAUGCUAACAACACCUAGGAGGAUCCUGAGUACGGCGGAACACGAGAAAUUCCGUCGGAAUCCGCGGGGACCAUCCCGCAAGGCUAAAUACUCCCUAGUGACCGAUAGUGAACCAGUACCGUGAGGGAAAGGUGAAAAGCACCCCGGAAGGGGAGUGAAAUAGAUCCUGAAACCGUGUGCCUACAACAAGUCAAAGCUCGUUAAUGAGUGAUGGCGUGCCUUUUGUAGAAUGAACCGGCGAGUUACGAUUGCAUGCGAGGUUAAGUCGAAGAGACGGAGCCG
rnacentral:rRNA from 1 species